UCAAUAAGCGGAGGAAAAGAAACCAACAGGGAUUGCCCUAGUAACGGCGAGUGAAGCGGCAACAGCUCAAAUUUGAAAUCUGGCGCAAGCCCGAGUUGUAAUUUGUAGAGGAUGUUUCUGGCGACGUGCCUUCCGAGUUCCCUGGAACGGGACGCCAUAGAGGGUGAGAGCCCCGUACGGUUGGUUGCCUAGCCUCUGUGAAACUCCUUCGACGAGUCGAGUAGUUUGGGAAUGCUGCUCUAAAUGGGAGGUAUACGUCUUCUAAAGCUAAAUACCGGCCAGAGACCGAUAGCGCACAAGUAGAGUGAUCGAAAGAUGAAAAGCACUUUGAAAAGAGGGUUAAAUAGUACGUGAAAUUGUUGAAAGGGAAGCGUUUAUGACCAGACUUGAGCAGGUUGAUCAUCCGUGGUUCUCCGCGGUGCACUCUGCCUGUUCAGGCCAGCAUCAGUUUGGUUCGGGGGAUAAAGGCUUCGGGAAUGUAGCUCCCUCGGGAGUGUUAUAGACCGUUGCGUAAUACCCUGAUCCGGACUGAGGUUCGCGCUCUGCAAGGAUGCUGGCGUAAUGGUCAUCAGCGACCCGUCUUGAAACACGGACCAAGGAGUCGUCUUCGUAUGCGAGUGUUCGGGUGUCAAACCCCUACGCGUAAUGAAAGUGAACGUAGGAGAGAGCUUCGGCGCAUCUCCGACCGAUCCUGAUGUUCUCGGAUGGAUUUGAGUAAGAGCAUACGGGGCCGGACCCGAAAGAAGGUGAACUAUGCCUGUAUAGGGUGAAGCCAGAGGAAACUCUGGUGGAGGCUCGCAGCGGUUCUGACGUGCAAAUCGAUCGUCAAAUAUGGG
rnacentral:rRNA from 1 species